GAUGAACGCUGGCGGCGUGCUUAACACAUGCAAGUCGAACGGAAAGGCUCCUGCUUGCAGGGGUACUCGAGUGGCGAACGGGUGAGUAACACGUGGGUGAUCUGCCCUGCACUUCGGGAUAAGCCUGGGAAACUGGGUCUAAUACCGGAUAGGACGAUGGUUUGGAUGCCAUUGUGGAAAGUUUUUCGGUGUGGGAUGAGCUCGCGGCCUAUCAGCUUGUUGGUGGGGUAAUGGCCUACCAAGGCGUCGACGGGUAGCCGGCCUGAGAGGGUGUACGGCCACAUUGGGACUGAGAUACGGCCCAGACUCCUACGGGAGGCAGCAGUGGGGAAUAUUGCACAUUGGGCGCAAGCCUGAUGCAGCGACGCCGCGUGGGGGAUGACGGCCUUCGGGUUGUAAACUCCUUUCGCUAGGGACGAAGCGCAAGUGACGGUACCUGGAGAAGAAGCACCGGCUAACUACGUG
rnacentral:rRNA from 1 species